GACGAGACCUUCGGGUCUAGUGGCGCACGGGUGCGUAACGCGUGGGAAUCUGCCCUUUGCUACGGAAUAACUCAGAGAAAUUUGUGCUAAUACCGUAUAAUGUCGUAAGACCAAAGAUUUAUCGGCAAAGGAUGAGCCCGCGUAAGAUUAGCUUGUUGGUGGGGUAAAGGCCUACCAAGGCGACGAUCUUUAGCUGGUCUGAGAGGAUGAUCAGCCACACUGGGACUGAGACACGGCCCAGACUCCUACGGGAGGCAGCAGUGGGGAAUAUUGGACAAUGGGCGAAAGCCUGAUCCAGCAAUGCCGCGUGAGUGAUGAAGGCCUUAGGGUUGUAAAGCUCUUUUACCAGGGAUGAUAAUGACAGUACCUGGAGAAUAAGCUCCGGCUAACUCCGUGCCAGCAGCCGCGGUAAUACGGAGGGAGCUAGCGUUGUUCGGAAUUACUGGGCGUAAAGCGUGCGUAGGCGGCUAUUCAAGUCAGAGGUGAAAGCCUGGAGCUCAACUCCAGAACUGCCUUUGAAACUAGAUAGCUAGAAUCUUGGAGGGGUGAGUGGAAUUCCGAGUGUAGAGGUGAAAUUCGUAGAUAUUCGGAAGAACACCAGUGGCGAAGGCGACUCACUGGACAAGUAUUGAUGCUGAGGU
rnacentral:rRNA from 1 species